UAUUCAUCUAGAUUAUUCAUCUAAUUGAUGUAGGAUUAAGGAUUCUUAAUCUACAGUAGCAGACUGAUAAUUUUUAAAUCAACCAAAUUCUAUUGCAGGUUAAAAAUAAAUAUAUAAAUACCACAACAACAAUUGCACAGAAUAUCCACAGCCGGGUGCCUAGGCUACAGGGAUAAGACGCUAACUAUAAGCUUCUUUACAGGAUCAACCCGUGUUGAUUAUAAUCUGUUAAUUAACUCUUUAUUUAACCAUUAAAACCUUGCAAACAUAUAGGACUACAUAAAAAAGCUGGCUCCUACCCUAGCGUAGGCUACUUCUCGGGUAAUAUUGUUUUGCAUAUAAUAAUGGCAAGUUUAUGCUGCUGCAGGUCGGACUCGGCUAGGACCCCUCCCUACAUCCCUUUCGUUUUCGCAUAAGGGGAGUGCUGCUACAAUUGCUUGGCUCUUCACAAGAGCCACAACCUAUAAGUCUUAUCCCGCAGGUAUAGCUUCAUAGAGAGGCGAUGAUGAGUAUGAUAUUAAUUCAAUAUGAUAGCAACGUAAUAGAUAGAAACCAGUCAUCGAUGUUUCAGGGAGUUCCAGAUCUUUUCCCCACAGCAGGUAAUGUCGUCGUAGUUUUUGUGCUGGGAUGUUUCACUGUGUGGGGUACUACGGCCCACAAUGAUUCAACACCCGCCCACACCUUAACAAAAACCCGUCCGACUAGGCCUACGUUAUUAAUCUCAUGGAAUAAUACCUUUGAGACAGAAUUAUGUUUCAAUAGGCGUUUGAUGGACGUUUGACAUUUGGUUUUUGUAUGGGGCUGUAGCACAGUGAUCUGCUUUUCGGUAAUGCCAUCACUCUCGACGUUAAAUUUGGAGAUAAUACUCCUCAUGUCGCCCCCACCCUGUCUAUCCUCCGCCCGAUGUCGGGCGAUAUGGGGGGCCCGCAGGUCUGCCUGGCAACCGGAUUCUACCCGGAUAUCUCGAACAGAGUGCUCCUUAACCCGCUUAAGGAUAUCACCAAUCAACUUUUGAUAUCCCCCAAGAGCAAAUCAUACACUUAUGCUACAUUUUCCAAAGGAAGUAUCAUCAGUAGUUGUAUAGUGGAAGGUGCAGAUAAUGAGGCAGUUCCGACAAAUGCCAACCCAAUAACUGCCUACCAACCAACUAGGCCUACCCCAGUAGCCGUCAACACAACAUCAGCCCACAAAUUAGAAAAUCACACGGAAGUCUUCAACGCAGAACCCUCCGACAAUAAGAGGCUGAGCUCAUACUACCUGCUGAUAAACGGCCUGCGACACAUCCUGACCAAAACCCUUGUUCUCAAUGUGCUGGUGGUCCUCCGAGGUCUGCUGGCCUAGAAGACCACCGCAGGGCACACAUGGACACAUUGGUUGGAAAUAUACUCCAUCAUGCCGUAAUCAUGAUCAGGACCUGAAUCUGAUUCUUCAAAGAGGUCAGGAUGUGGAUUAAGGAUGGAUAGGCAUAUUGUUGUGGUGUAUAGUAUGCCUAAGUAAAUUGUAAUUGACAAUUGAGAAUUUGAAGAGAAAGGAUUAGGAUAUAGUAAAAAUCACAUUAAGGCUUCAUUGUGGUGUUGUUUAUUUUUUCACUUUCGUUUUAUUGUCUGUACAGUCUGUAUGUAUUCCUUUCUUAUUUGUAAAGCGUCUUUGAGCAUUUAGAAAAGCACUGUAAAAAAAAGAUCAAUUAUUAUUAUUAUUAUUGUUAAACUCAAGCAGCCAGCACCUGUUCAAUCUAUCGCUGGGACCGGUUGAAGCUUGAUGGUAUCAGAUAGAUGUGGACAGCUGGGGAAUGAGAAGAAGAGAAAUUUGAAGCAUGAGGUAUAAUAUGUAAUGAAUAAUAACAAUUUAUAGUCUACUGAUUGGACAAACCCCUAUCAUUUAAAUUAAUAUGGUGCACAAACAACUUUGGCCCUUGGGCCAAAAAUAAAACAAAGUUGUUACACAUGUAUUUCUGGGGUCUUCUGGAGGCUUAAGAAGGCUGCUUGUCUGUCUUCUCUUGUUAUCUUGGUGUCAGUCGUGGUGCUUGUUAUUAGUGAGGAAAACCACAUUUUUACUGAAACUUGAAACCAUGGCAACAGAGGAAAUCCUCCAUGCUGAUUACGAUCUAAUAUUCUCUGACAGUUUGUUGAGUAUCGGAAUAUCUGCCCGCAAAGCUUUAAAACAAGGCUGUCAUUGACAAGCACGAUGCUCAUAAGUCAGUUAUGCAUAGAGUUUUAUAGAGUUUUUUUUUGUAAUUAUGUGUAACAUCCACAACCUGGCGAAAUCUAUCAUGUACUGCUGAAUUGGACGUCUUGUUUUUUGGGUUUUCACUUGCAAAAUAUAAAUAAAAAAAGGUUUUCACAGCCCACACCAGCCAACAUAGUCCUAUGUCUUUUCACGCAUUUCACAGGAAAAGAGCAGCGAUUUGGAUUGAACCCGGGUCCUGAUUUGACAGAAGGCCUAUUGCCGUUUCUCUGUAAUAGUGUGUUUCUGCAGGCGAAGUGGUGUCUACAGCUUAGAUGAGCAUUUUUUGUUAUUGACGCUUGGACGUCAUCGAUAGAGCUAUCGACACAAAACUUGUGACACUUGAGUGAGGGGAGAUUUCAUCUAUGAGCACGAUAAAUAACCUGAUCCUGGCUCAAGUGAACUUGUGAUUCCUAGAAUUGAGUUGACCAUAUUAUUUUAUGGAAACUAUAAUAACUUCUACGACUACUUUUGAGUCAGACACAUUCUUACAACAUGCAUCACAUCAAGUGUUAUUUGCACCUGUGGCGAUUUAGAAGAUUUUUUCAAGUGUUCAAAACUUCAGUGUACAGAGAAAUCUAUCCAGAUGGACAGUAUUGGUCAAAGAGGCAAACCUUUACAGCAUGUAAAAUAAGGCCUAUAACAAGUAGCAACAGAUAGCCUACUCUUAGAAUCCUAUCUAAUAGGAUGCUACAAUAAUACUUCCGAUGUAAUCUGGUGUGACGCUGCCCCCUGCUGGAUACAGGUAGAGUUGUCUUUCUCUCAAUAUUUUCCUAAACAGCGAUGGAAGUGAGUAAACCCAGCCCCUUUCGGGUGCAAUCUUUACGGUAACUUAAAAAAGGAAAAAAAUUACCAUUGCUUGGCGAUUGGACCACAUAUUUAGAGAGUGGCAUUUGUUUUAACCAUUUUUUUGGUUUGGUUUGUAGAAGUUUGGAUUGAACCCGGGUAUAAAAAGUGUUUUUACAAAGCAGUUUUUAAUUAUGAGAUGUAAAAGUAUUUCCCAAUACACGUGUGUUACUAUAUCGGUAGAUAUGAAUAAAUGUAACGCCGAUAUUCCCAUCAAUGGAUUUCAGAGCUUCGAACGGUUCUAACCGAGGCUAGAACCGUUGUUUGACAAGGUUAUACUAUUGAAAAAGUAUAAAGAUAAAGAGUGAGAUCAAGAGAUGUUUAAUGUUGCGUGUGUGCGUGAGUGCAUGUGUGUGUGUGUGUG